rnacentral:rRNA from 1 species
GAUGAACGCUGGCGGCGUGCCUAAUACAUGCAAGUCGAGCGAACGGACGAGAAGCUUGCUUCUCUGAUGUUAGCGGCGGACGGGUGAGUAACACGUGGAUAACCUACCUAUAAGACUGGGAUAACUUCGGGAAACCGGAGCUAAUACCGGAUAAUAUUUUGAACCGCAUGGUUCAAAAGUGAAAGACGGUCUUGCUGUCACUUAUAGAUGGAUCCGCGCUGCAUUAGCUAGUUGGUAAGGUAACGGCUUACCAAGGCAACGAUGCAUAGCCGACCUGAGAGGGUGAUCGGCCACACGGGAACUGAGACACGGUCCAGACUCCGACAGGAGGCAGCAGUAGGGAAUCUUCCGCAAGGGGCGAAAGCCGGACGGAGCAACGCCGCGUGAGUGAUGAAGGUCUUCGGAUCGUAAAACUCUGUUAUUAGGGAAGAACAUAUGUGUAAGUAACUGUGCACAUCUUGACGGUACCUAAUCAGAAAGCCACGGCUAACUACGUG